UUGGAAGAGAGUUAAACAGUACGUGAAAUUGUCGAAAGGGAAACGGUUGCAGUCAGUCGCGUCCGCCGGGGAUCAACCUUGCUUUUGCUUGGCGUAUUUCCCGGUGGAUGGGUCAGCAUCAGUUUUGACCGCAGUUGAAAGGCUGGAGGAAUGUGGCACCUUCGGGUGUGUUAUAGCCUCCUGUCAUAUGCUGCGGUUGGGACUGAGGAACUCAGCACGCCGCAAGGCCGGGAUUCGUCCACGUUCGUGCUUAGGAUGCUGGCAUAAUGUCUGUAACCGACCCGUCUUGAAACACGGACCCAAG
rnacentral:rRNA from 1 species